CACACUCGCACACACGCAGAGGCACGGGGGGGAAAGAAGCCGAUGAAUAAUUUUGCUAUUUUUUUUUAAAUACUGGCCGCCAUCAUCAUGCAGCGAGCAGCAGUCUGCUGGAAGGGAGAGGAGGCAUGGGGCAGGCCCCUGUAGAAGCGGAUUUAUAUCUAGUUGGGAAAAAAAGAAAGAAAAGAAAAAGAAGAAAAAGAAGAAAAAAAAAUUAUCAAGCCCCCGAACUGAAGGUUAGGAGCGACCCGUCAGCAGCCCACAUGUAACCGAACUGUCGUGUUUCAUGGCUUUUUGCCACUCCAGCUGUCAAUCAAAGCCCGGAAUGUCAAGGUAGUGAAUGAAUGAUGGUUGAUGAUGAUGAAGAGGAGGAAUCUUUCAGACCGGAUUUUUUUUUUCUUCCAGUAAAACUCCGCGAGGGGUUUCUGCUUCUUGAAUUUUUCCUCCCCCCUCCCCCCCUCUUUUAGCUUUGCCCCGAAAUAGCUCUAAUAUGAUCCUCUCUCUUUAAAGUAUUGUUCAAAGAAGUCAAGGAGAAAAAAAAUCAAGAAAAAAUUAAUAGUUUGCAAAAAUUGGACUUCCUCCCCCCCUUUCCUGGAUUCCAGCCCAGUCUUAUAGGAAAAACAGGACCAUUGCUGCAAUCGCUGCGAGGAUGUGAUUUUGUUUCUGUAAGGCUUAAAGCGCUUUUCAUUAUCCUUUUAAUGUAUUUAAAUAGGCCUGUUUGGACACUCAAAGAAGCUACCAACACAAAGAUGGUUUGGCCGUCAAUCCCAGCAUUAAAAAAAAAAAAAAUCUGAGACGUUUUUACAUACCCAUCCUUGCCUUAAAUAAAUACAUAAAUAAAUAGUGCAAGGCAAAAGAAAGUUUGCAGUUUGCCUCUGCGCCUCUUGGUGUGCGCAUCUAUAAACAUCUUCGCGUCCGUGUUUGCGCGGAACCUCCCUCCCCACACUCUCAAAAGCAGAGCAUCCAGGGAUCGCCCCCAGAGAGCUGUGUUUACGUAGUUUUUUUUUUUUUUUUAAAUCUCUCCGCCAUGUAUGACAAGUGUUACUUCAAGAAAUUCAUCAGCCUUCUCCAGAUACUUCCAGUUUUGCCGUCAUGAUCUGCAGAAGAAAACUGCCAUCACUUUCUCACAUCUCAAGGUGUUGCAGGAACUCGGAAGGGAGAGUGGUUGCCUCGCUUAAUUACCAAGGGGAGGGCGGAGCACCUCGAGGGACGCUGGGCAGGUCUGGGGAGGAAAGGUGCGUGGCCAGGUGGGCACUUGCUGGGGUCGCCAGUAGGAGAAUAUUUGGACAAGGUAUGAUUGCCUCUUUUUUUUUUUUUUCUUUCCCUCUCCCAGUGCCUUUGGGGAGAAGUGAUACCCUCGUGUAACAAUUAGCUCAGACAAUAAAAAUAAUUGGAAAAUCA